rnacentral:lncRNA from 1 species
UAAUAGUCCCUCCAGCACAGACAGAAAUGAGAACCCCUAUUACCCUGGCCUGCCCAACAUGGUGAAACCCCAUCUCUACCAAAAAUACAAAAAUUAGCUGGGCGUGGUGGCAGGCACCUAUAAUCCUAGCUACUGGGGAGGCUAAGGCAGGAGAAUCACUUGAACUCAGAGGAGGCAGAGGUUGCACCACUGCACUCCAGCUUGGGGGACAAAGAGAGAGAGACUGUCUCAAAAAAAAAAAAAAAAGUUUCAG